CCAUGGUAUUGUAAUAUAUACGCUUGGUUUAAAUUUAAUUUGAUUUGAUAAAUUUCAGCCUAUUCUUAGUGAUAUGGGAGUUGUCUUGCAAGUACCCACAAGCCCAAAUAUAUAUUUUUCAGUGAAAAGUAACAUUAUGAAAAAGUUGAUGGAUGGUUUAAGAAAAUGCCUUAUGGUCAAAGUUGUGUGUACUGUGUUCCUUACAUCAAGCACUCAAAGCAUCACUGGAAGAGACAAGGGUCAAGGAAUGAGGUGUUUGUGUGGAAAUCCCAUUACACCAUCAAGAGGGAGACCGCACUGACAGGGGUCCAAGAUCCAUCUCAGGCCCUACUGUAGACUGCCCGCCAGCAGACGGAGGCCCACCGACGGACGUCGGCUCAAUGGCCAACAGUGGCCCGCCGGCCGGCUGACGGUGGCUCGCCGACCGACGCCGGCCCGUCGGCCGACCACGGCCCACCAGUUGAUGGUGGCCCGCCAGCUGACGGAGGUCCGCCGGCCAUUCGUAGCACGCCCGCCGACGGCAGCUCGACGCACAUCCUGGCCUUAACUAUGGCUAUGUCACCCCCAAGAUUAGUUCGCCCCCCCCCAAGUCCCUAGGUCACCAGUUGCGGGCGCUCCAUCUGACGGUGUCGUCCGACGGCUCCACGGUGACCAGCGCCGCCACUGCGGAAACCAUCGGACCCCGAAAAUGCUGCUAGCCGUACACGAACAAAAGGCGCCAUGCACCCAGGACCAGCGCCCUGC